rnacentral:rRNA from 1 species
GACGAACGCUGGCGGCGUGCUUAGCACAUGCAAGUCGAACGGAAAGGCCCUGCUUUUGUGGGGUGCUCGAGUGGCGAACGGGUGAGUAACACAUGAGUCACCUGCCCUUGACUUUGGGAUAACUUCAGACAACCGGGGCUACUACCGGCUAGGAGCUCCUGCUGCAUGGUGGGGGUUGGAAAGUUUCGGCGGUUGGGGAUAGACUCGCGGCUUAUCAGCUUGUUGGUCGGGUAGUGGCUUACCAAGGCUUUGACGGGUAGCCGGCCUGAGAGGGUGGACAGCGACAAUGGGACUGAGAUACGGCGCAGUCUCCAACGGGAGGCAGCAGGGGGGAAUAUUGCACAAUGGGCGGAAGCCUGAUGCGGCAGCGCCGCGUGCGGGAUGACGGCCUUCGGGUGGUAAACCGCUUUCGCCUGUGACGAAGCGGGAGUGACGGUAAUGGGUAAAGAAGCACCGGCUAACUACGUG